rnacentral:rRNA from 1 species
UACGUAGGUGGCAAGCGUUGUCCGGAAUUAUUGGGCGUAAAGGGCGCGUAGGCGGUCAGCACAAGUCAGUUGUGAAAUCUCCGGGCUUAACUCGGAAAGGUCAACUGAUACUGUGCGACUAGAGUGCAGAAGGGGCAACUGGAAUUCUCGGUGUAGCGGUGAAAUGCGUAGAUAUCGAGAGGAACACCUGCGGCGAAGGCGGGUUGCUGGGCUGACACUGACGCUGAGGCGCGAAAGCCAGGGGAGCGAACGGG